GUACAGAUUAAUGGGGAAUGGUACACUAUUAUCCUGGCUUCUGACAAAAGAGAAAAGAUAGAAGAACAUGGCAGCAUGAGACUUUUUGUGGAGCACAUUCAUGUCUUGGAGAAUUCCUUAGCUUUUAAACUCCAUACUGUAAGUGAUUAUCAGUGCUCCAAAGUAUUUUUAGUUGGUGACAAUACAGAAAAGGCUGGUAAUAUUCUGUGACAUAUGAUGGAUUCAAUACAUUUACUAUACUGAAGACAGAAUAUGAUAAUUAUAUUAUGUUUCAUCUCAUUAAUGAAAUGAAUGGGGAAACCUUCCAGCUGAUGUUGCUUUAUGACCUAGAACCAGAUUUGAGUUCAGACAUCAAGGAAGAGUUUGCAAAACUAUUUGAGGAGCAUGGAAUCAUUAGAGAAAAUAGCAUUGACCUAUCUAAUGCCAAUCACUGUCUCCAGGCCCUAGAAUGA
rnacentral:lncRNA from 1 species